UUUUAUGGAGAGUUUGAUCCUGGCUCAGGAUGAACGCUGGCGGCGUGCCUAAUACAUGCAAGUCGAGCGAACAGAUAAGGAGCUUGCUCCUUUGACGUUAGCGGCGGACGGGUGAGUAACACGUGGGUAACCUA
rnacentral:rRNA from 1 species